GACGAACGCUGGCGGCGUGCUUAACACAUGCAAGUCGAACGGGCCCGCCCUCUUUUUUGGGGGUGGGUUGAGUGGCGAACGGGUGAGUAUCACGUGCGUAACCUGCCCCCUGCUCCUGGAUAACUGCUUGAAAGGGCGGCUAAUACGGGGUGUGCCGGCUGGUCCGCAUGGGCCUGGUCGGGAUAGUUUCAUCUGCGGGUGUUUCGGUGGGGGAUGGGCUCGCGGCCUAUCAGCUUGUGGGUGGGGUGAUGGCCCACCGAGGCGGUGACGGGUCGCCGGACGGAGAGGAUGCACGGCCGGUCGGGGACGGAGACACGGCCCAGACGCAUGGGGGCGGCAGCAGUGGGGGGUAGGGCAGAAGGGGCGGAAGCCAGAUGGAGCGACGGCGCGUGAGGGAUGGGCGCCGUCGGGUGGUGAACCUCUUUCUCCGGUGGGGAAGGCCCUGUCCGGUGCGGCGGGAUUGACGGUAGCCGGGGAUGAAGCGCCGGCUAACUACGUG
rnacentral:rRNA from 1 species